rnacentral:rRNA from 3 species
CAGCCGCAACAGCCCGCUGGCUCACACGGGGUGCUCUUCAUCGAGUGUCCCGCGUGGCCGGCAGAGUUUACUUUGAAAAAAUUAGAGUGCUCAAAGCAGGCUACACUGACGGCCUGAAUGCCUAUGCAUGGAAUAAUGGAAUAGGACCUCGGUUCUAUUUUGUCGGUUUUCUGAACCCGAGGUAAUGACUAAUAGGAACAGGCGGGGGCAUUCGUAUUGCGACGCUAGAGGUGAAAUUCUUGGACCGUCGCAAGACGAACUACUGCGAAAGCAUUUGCCAAGGAUGUUUUCAUUAAUCAAGAACGAAAGUUAGAGGUUCGAAGGCGAUCAGAUACCGCCCUAGUUCUAACCAUAAACGAUGCUGACCAGCGAUCCGCCGGCGUUAUUCCCAUGACCCGGCGGGCAGCUUCCGGGAAACCAAAGUCUUUGGGUUCCGGGGGAAGUAUGGUUGCAAAGCUGAAACUUAAAGGAAUUGACGGAAGGGCACCACCAGAAGUGGAGCCUGCGGCUUAAUUUGACUCAACACGGGGAACCUCACCAGGCCCAGACACCGGAAGGAUUGACAGAUUGAGAGCUCUUUCUCGAUUCGGUGGGUGGUGGUGCAUGGCCGUUCUUAGUUGGUGGAGCGAUUUGUCUGGUUAAUUCCGAUAAC